rnacentral:rRNA from 1 species
UACGUAGGCAGCGAGCGUUGUUCGGAGUUACUGGGCGUAAAGGGUGUGUAGGCGGUUUUCUAAGUUUGGUGGGAAAUCUCCCGGCUCAACCGGGAGGGUGCGCCGAAAACUGGGAGACUAGAGUGCGGGAUGGGAGAGUAGAAUUCCUGGUGUAGCGGUGAAAUGCGUAGAUAUCAGGAGGAAUACCGGUGGUGUAGACGGCUCUCUGGACCGCCACUGACGCUGAGACACGAAAGCGUGGGUAGCAAACAGG